ACGCCGGCCUGACGAGGUCCGAUGCCUCCUCUGUGCUGGAACUGCAGCGUCCAAGCCCGUCGGUUGCAUUACCCUCGCCAUUCCGAGACUUGAGGUGGUGAUAACUCAACUCCCCGGGUGUCGGGAUUUUCCUGACGCAUGCCGAUGGUGAUUGGAUGUUACCGUGACAGCCACCACCGUCAGUCAGUUUGUUCGUCCUUUCCACGAGUUAGAUCGUAGCAAGGACCCCAACGGCCGACGGUGACAGGUCCACCCAGAAAUGCGCACACAAAAUUUCAGUAACAAUUUGCUUCUCAAACGGAAACCGGAGGUAACCCAGAUACACGGCAAUCCUAUCUUAUACUACAAAAAUGAAACUUAUCCAUUGUCGCUGAUAUUAGGACUGAAGGUUCUUACAACGGUUUACAACUCGCACGCAAAGUCUUAGCCACAAUUCACAAUUUUGCCGCAACUUCAUACCUGCACCAGCUUCUUCUUCUGGUGAGCGUCGAUGUUGGAGGUCCUUUCUUUCUGCUAGACGCCGCUCGCAAUCCUGGAGCUUAGCCGCCGCUGUGGAGACAGCCGCAUCAAAC